CUUUGCUAGUCCCAAACAUUAGUAAAUUAUUUUAAAACCCUAGCUGAUUUGUGAGCCUAAUUUUAGUAACAACAACCCUAGCUGAUUUAUGAGCCUAAUUUUAGUAGCAACAAUCCUAGCUGCUCGCCAUAGGUGCUUUCUUCUUUGAAUACAAGUAUAUAUGGCUUCAGGGUACUCACAAAUUUCAUAUUUUUCUUGUUCUUCACCUUCUCACCUGUGUCGUUUUCAUUCUUUGGUACUCCUAAAUUUCAUAUUUUUCUUGUUUCUUCGAAUAGAAAGGUUUUAAGUAGAUUCUUUUUAGCAGUAUCAUGAAUGAUUUUUUUGAUGUUCCCUCUUUUAGUAAUUAUUGCGCUUUCUGUUCCUUUUCAUGUCAAAUUUUUAAAUGUACGGAUACCCAAGUUGCAAUAGUAAGUCAUGUUGCAAGAUAAGAUCUUGUCUUCUUAGAUUCUUUAGAUGUUCUUCAAUUUUGGUAUGUGUAGAUACCUUUUUUUUCAUUGCAAAUUGACAUGGUCAAUGGUAUAGCUUUUUUUGUUGCUCUGAUUUCCUUCAGUUAUGUGCGAUUUGAUUGAUUUUAAGCUCUCCAUGUCAACUAUUAUUGGUUGGAAAAAAUAUUCGAGAGUUUACUGGUAUGGUGGCUACAUUCAAGCUUAGAACCUGUUCCAUUUUCAUAUUGUGUAAUAUCUUGUUCUUUUGUGAUUGUUCUGUAAAACAUAUGUAUCUAUCAGUAGGCAGCUUAAGAUUUGUUGCGAGAAGAUUAACAUUUGUUCAUGUGAAUAAAAAGGACAUUGGAUAGGAGUUAGCGUUGUGUUCGAGUAAUUUGGUAAAUUUUAUAUAUAUUAUGAAUUCUGAUUUGGAGUAUACAUGAUCUGUGUAAUCCCAAAGUUUGCACGUUUCAGCUAGCAGAAACUAGUGCCACUUAGACAAAUAAUUUCAGAUAACUACUUUAAACAUAGGAAAUACGUUUACAAGCUCAAUUUGCUCUUGUAUUUCCUGGCUACUAUUGCGAUGCGAACAUUAGAACUUUCAAAUCUCAUUUUCUUCGGAAUGAACUCUUGGUAUAAAGUUGCAGUUUGACAAAAAGUGCAGCAUUUAAUUUAGAAAUUGAAUUUUGCAUCUGUUCCACUUAAGGAAAAAUUCAACUGCAAUUAUAUGGUAGUUUAGAACUCCAGUAGUUUGUAAAUAGGGUGAAAUUUGUCCAUUAAUCCAUUGAUGUGCUGAACUUUGAGUUGCUUGAACAGUGUACUUGGAGCUCCAAAAUAAAAUUUUGGUUAAGCAGAAACUUUUCAGGUCUUAUGUAGUUGUGUUAUCAGCCAAUUGGCUUUUAUAAUUCAUACAAGUCCAUCUUUCUUAUUCGUUAUACUAUGUGAUUGAUUAUGAGCAUGUAUUUCACUUUACUUUUAGUCACUUGACGAGAGAAAAAAUGUGAUACUAUUUUUAGUCAAUUGGUAGUAAACAACCCUGGACUGAAUACUCAAGAUAUACUAAGGUGUGUUGGAUCCAACCUUCCUUUAUCUGUUGAUGCAAGUAGCACGGUUGUGAGAGGCCAAAAUCAUCCAUAUUCUUCUGGCUGAACUCAUGCUACGAGUCUUGAAAAGGUGAUCCAAUUGGAAAUGUGGCCACAAGUCCAAUUUAAUCUAUUGAAGUGAAUGAUGAAGACUUUUGGAACAAUUGUGAUAUUUAUUAUUCAUCUAUAUGAAUACAUUUGGUUUUUUAUAGUU